rnacentral:rRNA from 1 species
CAGUAGCCGCGGGAAUACGAAGGGGGCUAGCGUUGUUCGGAUUUACUGGGCGUAAAGGGUGCGUAGGCGGAUUGUUAAGUCAGGGGUGAAAUCCCGAGACUCAACCUCGGAACUGCCCUUGAUACUGGCGAUCUUGAGUCCGGGAGAGGUGAGUGGAACUGCGAGUGUAGAGGUGAAAUUCGUGGAUAUUCGCAAGAACACCGGUGGCGAAGGCGGCUCACUGGCCCGGUACUGACGCUGAGGCACGAAAGCGUGGGGAGCAAACAGGAUUAGAUACCCCCGUAGUCCCUGUCUCUUAUAA